rnacentral:piRNA from 1 species
UAUUCUUCAGGCAGUUGCAAA